rnacentral:rRNA from 1 species
UAAAAUUCUAGGUAGAAUUAUGAUAAUGACAUUGUCUGCCUAUGUGUCUUGACCAAAUUACGUGCCAGCAGUCGCGGUAAUACGUAGAAGACUAGUGUUAUUCAUGUUUAAUCGGUUUAAAGGGUACCUAGACGGUAGAUCAAGCUUUCUAAUAAAGGAAAAGGACUAGUUUACUAGAGUUACUUAUGAGGGGGUAUUAAAGUACUGCUGGUGUAGAGAUGAAAUUCUGUCAUACCUCUUUUCAAAAGAAAAACCAUGGCACAGGUAUAGGCGAAGGCAUCCCCUUAUGUGAUAACUGACGUUGAGGGACGAAGGCUUUGUGUAGCGAACAGGAUUAGAUACCCCAGUAGUCGAAGCAGAAAAUGAUGAAUGUCAUAGAUUAGAUAUAUAAGUUUAUUCUAUAAAUGAAAGUGUAAGCAUUCCACCUCAUGAGUAAUUUGGCAACAUUGGAACUGAAAUCAUUAGACCGUUUCUGAAACCAGUAGUGAAGUAUGUUGUUUAAUUUGAUGUCCCGCAAAAAACCUUACCACAAUUUGAAUAUUUAUAUUGUUUAUUGUUUUAUUAUUAAUUUUCUUGAACGGAAAGAUCACGU